rnacentral:tRNA from 1 species
GGGGUUGUAGCUCAGUGGUAGAGUGCUUGCAUUGCAGACAGGAGGCACUGGGUUCAAUCCUCAGCACCA